rnacentral:lncRNA from 1 species
UUUGAUUCUUAUGCUUGUCAUCCACAGAUUUUAUAUGAAAUCUGAACCCAUGAACAAUGUGACUUUUAUAUCUACUCACAACCCUACUAGGAUAAUUAGCUAGCCAACACAAGUCUUGAGAUAUCAACGUGUCAUUAGGAUGACAUCUUGAAUUCAUAUGUAAUAAAAAUGAUGAUAAAAGUUGACAUGAUAACUAUAAUCAUGUUAUAAUUAAAAUGUAAAAAUAUAAAUAAAUAAUGUGAUUGUUGUAUCAACUCACAUGUUGCUUGAACCAUUAUGGAAAUUCUUUCUUGCUUAGCUCCUGAAUUUGUCGCAUAGUUAACCUUUCUCGACGAUGUUUCAUUUUCAAGAAUUCCUCAUGUUGCCUGUGCAUUUAUGUCCAAAUUUAGAUAAUUAAUUUUUCAAAGUUAAGAAAACCAAUAAAACAUUAAGACAUAAGAUUAAACGUUCUUACCUUCUAAAUGGAUGAACUUCAUCAAAAUUAUUUAGAAUGUAUCUAUGGCAUUGAUCAAGAACAUUUAGAUCGAGCUCCACUUUUUCUCCUAAACCCAUAUAACAUCAUUUGGAGUAAAAAAUUGAUAACCCACUAGACACUCCACAUCCAAUACCAUCUUCAUUUCGGCCUCUACGGGUGCGGCAAGACUCGACAUCUCUAAGAUACAUAGAAUAGAAGGACAAGUACUCAUCCACCAAAUAUGCUUCAGCAAUAGAACCUUCAGGACAACCCUUAUUACGAACAUAACGCUUCAACGUUUGCAAUUACCUACAAUUAUAAACGAAACCCAAAUUAUUAUAAUUAUAAAUUAAAGCUAUGACUACAAUUGUAAAAAAUUUAUAAAAAUUUAUUAAUUACAGUUCAAUUGGAUACAUCCAUCUAUAUUGAACAGGCCUUGUAAGAGCUGCUUCAUCUGCCAAGUGAACUGGAAGGUGCACCAUUAUAUGAAAAAAUGCAGGAGGGAAUAUUUUUUCAAGGUGACCUAAUGUCAAGGCAAUUCUUGAAUUCAGUUGCUUGAAUCCUUCCUUAGACUCCUUCUUACUACACAACUGUCUGAAAAUUGCACUCAACUUUAAUAAUACCAUAGUAACAGCUUUAGGAAAAACUGG